GACGAACGCUGGCGGCGUGCUUAACACAUGCAAGUCGAACGAAGAGCGAUGGAAGCUUGCUUCUAUCAAUCUUAGUGGCGAACGGGUGAGUAACGCGUAAUCAACCUGCCCUUCAGAGGGGGACAACAGUUGGAAACGACUGCUAAUACCGCAUACGAUCUAAUCUCGGCAUCGAGGAUAGAUGAAAGGUGGCCUCUACAUGUAAGCUAUCACUGAAGGAGGGGAUUGCGUCUGAUUAGCUAGUUGGAGGGGUAACGGCCCACCAAGGCGAUGAUCAGUAGCCGGUCUGAGAGGAUGAACGGCUACAUUGGGACUGAGACACGGCCCAGACUCCUACGGGAGGCAGCAGUGGGGAAUCUUCCGCAAUGGACGAAAGUCUGACGGAGCAACGCCGCGUGAGCGAUGACGGCCUUCGGGUUGUAAAGCUCUGUUAAUCGGGACGAAAGGCCUUCUUGCGAAUAGUGAGAAGGAUUGACGGUACCGGAAGAGAAAGCCACGGCUAACUACGUG
rnacentral:rRNA from 1 species